rnacentral:tRNA from 1 species
GGUUCCAUGGUGUAAUGUUUAGCACUCCAGACUCUGAAUCUGGUGAUUGGAGUUCAAGUCUCGUCGGAACCU